AUUCCAGCUCCAAUAGCGUAUAUUAAAGUUGUUGCAGUUAAAAAGCUCGUAGUUGGAGUUCAGAGUGAGCUCAAUCGGUCGGGAUUAUGUCUCAGAACUGGUUGACUCUCUCUUGUUUGUGGAUCCUGUUCGGAGUUAACUCUUCGGAUGUGGAGUCCACAUCGUUUACCUUGAAAAAAUUAGAGUGUUCAAAGCAGGCGUUUGCUUGAAUAUAUUAGCAUGGAAUAAUGGAAUAGGACGUUGGUUCUAUUUUGUUGGUUUUGAGAACCAGAGUAAUGAUUAAUAGGGACAGUUGGGGGCAUUCAUAUUUCAUUGUCAGAGGUGAAAUUCUUGGAUUUAUGAAAGAUGAACUUCUGCGAAAGCAUUUGCCAAGGAUGUUUUCAUC
rnacentral:rRNA from 1 species